rnacentral:sRNA from 1 species
CUCGUCCCCAGACCACCCGUUUACUGAAUAUUGAGUGACCAUUACCAUUUGACUGAGAAACAUAUAUCCCAUGUUUUCGAAGUCUAGACCUAUGGUUGUUAGCCAAGGCUUCCUGGAUACUCCCAAUAUUAGGUAUUAUUAGCUGCUGGAGUUUUGGUGGAAAACAUGUUUCAUAAACCGAAACGUUGGGCGAUUAUUGGAUGAUGAUGAUCUGAUUUUCAUGCAUGCGAAUCAAGUGCAGCAUUUUUCGUGGUCCCUUGUUUUGUUUGGCUGUUGAGCCCGAGGAUUACACUGAGAUGCGGGGUGCGGGAUUGAGAUAGUCAUGACCAUUUAUACGUAGAUGUAUGCCAAUUGAUAGCGGAGGUGAGGCAUGGCGUGCUAUCGAUGGGUUUCUGUUCAAUUUCCGAUACUGCAGGCACAGAGCAUGUUCUGUGAAGGUUCGGUUCCCGUGGGAUUGGGUUGAUUGGUAAGAAAUAACUAACUCACGGGUUUGAAACCCAGUCUGUGGCUGCGGGGACGGCAAAUGUGAUGCACGCUCUUCGUUGGCCCGAAAAAUAAUAGAAAGAACG